GGCUCCUGUGACUUAAGUGGUUAGAGUGUCCGUCUCGGAUGCUUGAGGUCGUGGGUUCGAAACCUGGCUGAGUCU